AACGAACGCUGGCGGCGUGCUUAACACAUGCAAGUCGAACGGAAAGGCCCUGCUUUUGUGGGGUGCUCGAGUGGCGAACGGGUGAGUAACACGUGAGUAACCUGCCCUUGACUUUGGGAUAACUUCAGGAAACUGGGGCUAAUACCGGAUAGGAGCUCCUGCUGCAUGGUGGGGGUUGGAAAGUUUCGGCGGUUGGGGAUGGACUCGCGGCUUAUCAGCUUGUUGGUGGGGUAGUGGCUUACCAAGGCUUUGACGGGUAGCCGGCCUGAGAGGGUGACCGGCCACAUUGGGACUGAGAUACGGCCCAGACUCCUACGGGAGGCAGCAGUGGGGAAUAUUGCACAAUGGGCGGAAGCCUGAUGCAGCAACGCCGCGUGCGGGAUGACGGCCUUCGGGUUGUAAACCGCCUUCGCCUGUGACGAAGCGUGAGUGACGGUAAUGGGUAAAGAAGCACCGGCUAACUACGUG
rnacentral:rRNA from 1 species